AUUAUUCCUCACAUUAAGUUUCAAAACACUUUAUAGGUUGUAAAGAACUGACAAUUGUCAUUUGUUGUGUUUGCAGCAUAUUUACUGAAAUCAAAAGCUAUUUCAAUCAAACUUAUAACAACAUUUUAACUUUUUAAACAUUUUAACAGGUCACAUUACAUUUUAACAUAUGACCCCUUAUUUGAUAGCAGCUUCACAAGUCUUGC